rnacentral:rRNA from 1 species
GCUUUAAAAUAAUUAAUUAAAUAAAUAGUGCAUACUAAAUAUAAUUAAAAAUUUUGGUUGGGGCGACUAAGGAACACAAAAAGCUUCCUCAUACAAUUUUAAAACUUAUUAGCAAUGAUCCGAAAUAUUCGAUUAAUAAAAUUAGU